rnacentral:lncRNA from 1 species
CCGAGCUCUCAGUAGUUCUCGGUGUUCCUGCUAAUCACUGACGACAGAGGCUUUGUCUCCAGAAGAUCACAGUAUUUUGAUUUGCAUUUUUCUCACCAGCAGGAAAGCAGGCAAUGGGGGAGCAGUCCACUUCCACAAGACACCUACUGCCAGGAAGAGAAAUUCCUCACAGCUCCAGUAAAACACACAAAGCACUCUAAUUUCAGCCAAGGCUUAUACAAUAUAAUCUCCUCCACACCCCGGGUGCGUAUCAGCAGGCAGCAGUAAUGGGUAUUGUCUGAAUCAAAGCCUCUUACAGAAACGUUGCAAACCAGAAUGAAAAGACUGGAACAGCUCCCCAUCAGUAUGUGGAAAGCAUUCCAGCCUGGGAAUUGAGCAGUGGGUUUUCUGCCAUCAUCUUUCAAACUGCAUUUUGGAAGGACUCAGCUUGGAGUGUUUUAAAACAGCCUUCAGGAUGUUGGUCUAAAGUUUGCUGCCUACACCAGAAACGUUUGAGAAAGCUGCUGAGAUCACCAAGAGAAGAUGGAUGUAAUGGUUUUCUGAAGAGAGGGUAAGUUGUUGGCAGAAGGUGGUGCUGUUACCUGAUGGUGAAGCAGAUAACUAGCUCCUGUGUCAGGGAACUUCUGCUAAACAAAAUCC